GGCUCAGGAUGAACGCUGGCGGUAUGCUUAACACAUGCAAGUCGAACGGGAAUCUUAGGAUUCUAGUGGCGGACGGGUGAGUAACGCGUGAGAAUUUGGCUUCAGGUCGGGGACAACAGUUGGAAACGACUGCUAAUACCGGAUAUGCCGGAAGGUGAAAGAUUUAUUGCCUGAAGAUAAGCUCGCGUCUGAUUAGCUAGUUGGUGGGGUAAGAGCCUACCAAGGCGACGAUCAGUAGCUGGUCUGAGAGGAUGAUCAGCCACACUGGGACUGAGACACGGCCCAGACUCCUACGGGAGGCAGCAGUGGGGAAUUUUCCGCAAUGGGCGAAAGCCUGACGGAGCAAUACCGCGUGAGGGAGGAAGGCUCUUGGGUCGUAAACCUCUUUUCUCAGGGAAGAAAAAAAUGACGGUACCUGAGGAAUAAGCAUCGGCUAACUCCGUGCCAGCAGCCGCGGUAAUACGGAGGAUGCAAGCGUUAUCCGGAAUGAUUGGGCGUAAAGGGUCUGUAGGUGGUGCUGUAAGUCUGCUGUUAAAGAGUCACGCUCAACGUGAUAAAAGCGGUGGAAACUACAGGACUAGAGUGCGGUCGGGGCAGAAGGAAUUCCUGGUGUAGCGGUGAAAUGCGUAGAUAUCAGGAAGAACACCGGUGGCGAAAGCGUUCUGCUAGUCCGCAACUGACACUGAGGGACGAAAGCUAGGGGAGCGAAUGGGAUUAGAUACCCCAGUAGUCCUAGCCGUAAACGAUGGAUACUAGGCGUGGCUUGUAUCGACCCGAGCCGUGCCGGAGCUAACGCGUUAAGUAUCCCGCCUGGGGAG
rnacentral:rRNA from 1 species